CAGUCUGCAACUCGACUGCACGAAGCUGGAAUCGCUAGUAAUCGCGGAUCAGCACGCCGCGGUGAAUACGUUCCCGGGCCUUGUACACACCGCCCGUCACACCAUGGAAGUCUGCAAUGCCCGAAGCCGGUGGCCUAACCACUUAUGUGGAGGGAGCCGUCUAAGGCAGGGCAGAUGACUGGGGUGAAGUCGUAACAAGGUAGC
rnacentral:rRNA from 1 species